rnacentral:lncRNA from 1 species
UUUGAUAUGUGGAGCACUGUUGGUGAGUAUGAUUUAUGCUUUAAUUCGUGCUUUUAUGAACCCACAUAUGUGUAUGCACUAAGGUCUGAUUAGUGUUCUUACUCUUGACUUCUGGUUUUGUACUUCUGAUGAAGGUCUGUCUUCUAAAGGAGAAAAUGACUCUUCCAAGGUACUUCACCAUUUUACAGCUUAAGCUCAAAUGUUCUGGGUAUUAACUGAUGGAAUUAUUUAGGAAACUAAAUUUUGAAACUAAAAUUGAAGUUCACCAAAGCAUGGCUGUCUUUUCUCAUGUUACCACUACCACUUGAUGUGUACAAGGAGGUAAAGAUGUUCUUGCCCUAAAAAAGAUAACUAUGGUAACUGUUGUAUCUGAAUUAUAAACCCUUGCAGCAAUGUUUUUCUUAUCCUAUGCGCAGUUUAGCGCAUUGUGGUAUGGUAACAAUAUAAGAACUUAGGAAGAUGAAAAUAUUCAUUGUCUGUUUCCCUCAUCUACAUCACGAACACUCACUUUAUUUUGUAGUAGUUAGUUGCUUCAUUGUUGGCUAUGGUUUCCUGCCUUGAUUUUUUGGGGUAUCUUGCAGGUCCUUGCUUCAAUUCAUCAAAAUGUCAUUCCUUCAAUGUCAAACCCUUCCAUCUUAUGGUAGGUUGUACGAUUUCUGUAUUAAUUGCACAUCAUUUCAUAUUUCACUGACAUAUAUCUUGUCGUAUGUAUAAUUUUUUUAUUUAUUCUUAUGGUGGUUUGAAACCUUUGUUUGAUAUAUUGUCUGAAUUGAUGUAGAGAAAGCAGAAAAGAUAUAAAAGGAUGGGUUAAAAGAAAGUCUAUCUGCAAGUAUACGAAGCAAUGAAGGUACUUGUCCACAUAUGCUGAGACGAGUGAAGGUACUUGUGCCACGCCGCCUUGCGCUACUUCGUCGUUGACACCGCGAGGAUUAGGAUUCUACUCCUUGCGCCGCUCCAUCUCCUUCCAUGCGGGCGCCCCAGCCCUCAACAAGCCCACCACAUCGCUCUCCUCCUCUGCCGCU